rnacentral:rRNA from 1 species
UACGAAGGGGGCGAGCGUUGUUCGGAAUCACUGGGCGUAAAGGGCGCGUAGGCGGCCCUCCUUGUCGCGUGUGAAAGCCCCGGGCUCAACCUGGGAACGGCGCGCGAGACGGGGGGGCUGGAGUUCGGGAGAGGAGCGUGGAAUUCCCAGUGUAGAGGUGAAAUUCGUAGAUAUUGGGAAGAACACCGGUGGCGAAGGCGGCGCUCUGGACCGAGACUGACGCUGAGGCGCGAAGGCGUGGGGAGCAAACAGG